GCAUAUCAAUAAGCGGAGGAAAAAGAAACCAACAGGGAUUACCUCAGUAACGGCGAGUGAAGCGGUAAAAGCUCAAAUUUGAAAUCUGGCUCUUUCAGAGUCCGAGUUGUAAUUUGUAGAAGAUGCUUCGGGUGUGGUUCCGGUCUAAGUUCCUUGGAACAGGACGUCAUAGAGGGUGAGAAUCCCGUAUGUGACUGGAUACCUAUGCUCAUGUGAAGCUCUUUCGACGAGUCGAGUUGUUUGGGAAUGCAGCUCAAAAUGGGUGGUAUAUUUCAUCUAAAGCUAAAUAUUGGCCAGAGACCGAUAGCGCACAAGUAGAGUGAUCGAAAGAUGAAAAGCACUUUGGAAAGAGAGUUAAACAGUACGUGAAAUUGUUGAAAGGGAAGCGCUUGCAAUCAGACUUGCACUUGGUGUUCAUCGGGGUUUCUACCCCGUGUACUUCAUCAAGUUCAGGCCAGCAUCAGUUUGGGUGGUUAGAUAAAGGCUUAGAGAAUGUGGCCCUCUUCGGGGGGUGUUAUAGCUCUAGGUGCAAUGUAGCCUACCUGGACUGAGGACCGCGCUUCGGCUAGGAUGCUGGCGUAAUGGUUGUAAGCGACCCGUCUUGAAACACGGACCAAGGAGUGUACCUAAUAUGCGAGUGUUUGGGUGUUAAACCCAUACGCGUAAUGAAAGUGAACGGAGGUGAGAGCCCUUAAGGGUGCAUCAUCGACCGAUCCUGAUGUCUUCGGAUGGAUUUGAGUAAGAGCAUAUUGGGUGCGACCCGAAAGAUGGUGAUCUAUACGUGAAUAGGGUGAAGCCAGAGGAAACUCUGGUGGAGGCUCGCAGCGGUUCUGACGUGCAAAUCGAUCGUCAAAUUUGCGUAUAGGGGCGAAAGACUAAUCGAACCAUCUAGUAGCUGGUUCCUGCCGAGU
rnacentral:rRNA from 1 species